AAACCGAGUCUUAAUUGGGCGUUAAGUUGCAGGGUAUAGACCCGAAACCCGGUGAUCUAGCCAUGGGCAGGUUGAAGGUUGGGUAACACUAACUGGAGGACCGAACCGACUAAUGUUGAAAAAUUAGCGGAUGACCUGUGGC
rnacentral:rRNA from 1 species